rnacentral:tRNA from 1 species
GCGUCGGUGGUUCAGUGGUUAAAUACUCGCCUGCCACGCGGGUGGCCCGGGUUCGAUUCCCGGCCGACGCA